rnacentral:rRNA from 1 species
AGCGAACGCUGGCGGCAGGCUUAACACAUGCAAGUCGAACGGGCGUAGCAAUACGUCAGUGGCAGACGGGUGAGUAACGCGUGGGAACGUACCUUUUGGUUCGGAACAACCCAGGGAAACUUGGGCUAAUACCGGAUAAGCCCUUACGGGGAAAGAUUUAUCGCCGAAAGAUCGGCCCGCGUCUGAUUAGCUAGUUGGUGUGGUAACGGCGCACCAAGGCGACGAUCAGUAGCUGGUCUGAGGAGGAUGAUCAGCCAC